rnacentral:lncRNA from 1 species
UGUUCAAUUUUUUUGACUCAUGUUUUGGUAGAUCUUUUGUGUCCAUUCGAAUCCUCAAUCUCUAAUGUGAACUCUCAUACUUUUUCCAAUCAAAUUGGACACUCCUAGCCUUUUAUGUGGCCAACCCUAGCUCACGCUACAGACAAGUGUUGUUGAAUCAGUUUAGUUUUCUUGAUUCAUGUUUUGGCAGAUAUUUUGUGUCCAUUCGAAUCCUCAAUCUCUAAUGUGAACUCUCAUACUUUUUCC